rnacentral:rRNA from 1 species
AUGGCAGGGAGGAGAGUAAUUGUACAGUCUGGAAACAUUGCCAGACUGUGGGUUGAUCCCAUUGGGGACAAUAUCCCUCUGGCUGAGCAGUUUCCUCGUCUUUUCUCUAUUUGCAACUAUCCUGAGUGCACUAUUGAUAAAUGCUUAAAUGUUGAUCCCUCCUCAUUCUUUAGGAGGAGGUUGAAUAGUGAGCUUAAUGACCAGUGGGUUGUUGUGAGUAAAUUGGCUAGAGAAGCAUGUGUUUUAGACACUGCUGAUGUGAUCAAAUGGGGCUUGGGUGGGAAAACCUUUUUUACCACCAAAUCUGUUUAUUCGUUCUUGGAAAAGAAUAUUGCAGGGUGCGAUUAUAGAUGGAUCUGGGGUGCCAGAAUCCCUCUCAAAAUUCAAAUAUUCCCGUGGCAACUUUUUCAGGAUGCUGUCCUGACUAGGGAUGUGAUGAAACACCGAGGUUGGAAAGGGAACCCAAAAUGUUCUUUUUGUGGAAGGAGAGAGACCGCACAUCACCUGUUCUUUGCUUGCCCUGUUGCCAGGGUAACCUGGAGGACAGUGGCAUUUAUGUUUGGCACUGCUUUGUGCCCUGAUAACAUCUGGCAAGCUUAUUCGUGGUGUUAUACAUUCUUCCCUGGAGGGGAAAAGUUUUAUACGACAGGGAUUGCUGCUAUGUGCUGGGCGAUCUAG